rnacentral:rRNA from 1 species
GUAGUCGAUGGGAAACGGGUUAAUAUUCCCGUACUUCUUACAAUUGCGAUGGGGGGACGGAGAAGGCUAGGUGGGCCUGGCGACGGUUGUCCAGGUUCAAGUGCGUAGGCUUGAGAGUUAGGUAAAUCCGGCUCUCUUUAAGGCUGAGACACGACGUCGAGCUACUACGGUAGUGAAGUCAUUGAUGCCAUGCUUCCAGGAAAAGCCUCUAAGCUUCAGAUUGUAAGGAAUCGUACCCCAAACCGACA